rnacentral:tRNA from 1 species
AAUUUGGCAGAAUUUGAAUGCAAUUGAUUUAGAAUCAAUUUAUGGUAGUUUAUCAAUU